GAUGAACGCUAGCUACAGGCUUAACACAUGCAAGUCGAGGGGCAGCGCAGUGUAGCAAUACAUGGGCGGCGACCGGCGCACGGGUGCGUAACGCGUAUCCAACCUUCCCGUUACUCAGGGAUAGCCUUCCGAAAGGGAGAUUAAUACCUGAUGGUGUUCAAAUUCCGCAUGUUAUUUGAACUAAAGAUUUAUCGGUAACGGAUGGGGAUGCGUGACAUUAGAUAGUAGGCGGGGUAACGGCCCACCUAGUCUACGAUGUCUAGGGGUUCUGAGAGGAAGGUCCCCCACACUGGAACUGAGAAACGGUCCAGACUCCUACGGGAGGAAGCAGUGAGGAAUAUUGGUCAAUGGUCGGAAGACUGAACCAGCCAAGUAGCGUGAAGGAUGAAGGUUCUAUGGAUUGUAAACUUCUUUUAUACGGGAAUAAAACCUCCCACGUGUGGGAGCUUGUAUGUACCGUAUGAAUAAGCAUCGGCUAACUCCGUGCCAGCCGCCGCGGUAAAAC
rnacentral:rRNA from 1 species